AAAUGCAUUACAGGGCAAGAUCUCUAUUGGCAGGAAACCAUUACUUUGAUCUUUGCAUGUCUUUUAUGCAUUGCUUUGUACGUAGUGAGUUCUCUGCCAAAGGAGAUUUGCCCGGUAAUUCUUCU
rnacentral:pre_miRNA from 1 species